GACGAACCGUGCGAACGUUGUUCGGAAUCACUGGGCUUAAAGGGUGUGUAGGCGGUCUGUCAAGUCAGGGGUGAAAUCUUUCGGCUCAACCGGAAAACUGCCUUUGAUACUGGCAGGCUCGAGGGAGGUAGGGGUUGCGGGAACUACCAGUGGAGCGGUGAAAUGCGUUGAUAUUGGUAGGAACGCCGGUGGCGAAAGCGCGCAACUGGAUCUCUUCUGACGCUGAAACACGAAAGCUAGGGGAGCAAACGGG
rnacentral:rRNA from 1 species